CCUGGAGUUGUAGGCUUUGCCUGCUAUCUCUUACCCAUGUCUUUUGAGUACCUUCGUUUCCUCGGCGGGUUCGCCCGCCGAUUGGACAAUUUAAACCAUUUGCAGUUGCAAUCAGCGUCUGAAAAACUUAUAGUUA
rnacentral:misc_RNA from 1 species